rnacentral:lncRNA from 13 species
AGCGGGGUCACGGCCGCGCCGGCGGCUCCCUCCGGGAAGUGCCGCGUCAGCGCCCGCCGCCCGCCGUGAUCCAACGCGAUGUGACAGCGGGGCCAUCGCCAGCGUCCCGCCGCUGCCCCGUGCUGGGCAGGGCGCCGGCACCCCCGCACCCACCGGGAAAGAGCCUUCCCGCAUCGGCUCCGCAGCUCCGCUCACCUCAUCGCAUCCCGGGCCGGGAGCACCGGGGCCGGGGUACUCCCCAACCCAGGUCCUGCGCACCCCCUGAGCCCCCCACCCCAUGGAACCCUCGGGCAGCCCGGUGAGGGGCAGCCCCCCAAAUCUGGGGCGGGCAGCGGUUGUGGCAGCGGCUUCUGGCCACGGGCCCGGCGCUGCCCUCCCGGCGCCGGUGCCAGCACCGGUGCCGGUGCCAGUGCCGGGGUCUGGCGGGGCCGCGGGACUCCCCGUGCCCAGCGGAACAAAGCCGCGGCUGUUUGCGGAGGACACCGCGGCCAGAGGCCGGCUCAUAAUGAGGCCAGUGCCAGCGGGAGUCCCGGCGCCGGCAGGGGUCCCGGCGACAGCAGGGGUCCCGGCGCCGGGAUGGUUCUCACCGUAAAUCAGCCCCGCCGCAGCCCGGGCUCUGCGGGAGGGGACACGACCCGGAGCCCCUCGCUGGGGCCUGCGGCAUCGCCACAGCUGCCGGGCGCCCUGGCCCUGCCGGGGUUCAUGCCGAACCUUGCCGGGGUCCAUGCCACCCCGACCCUCGCUGACUUCACCCUGACGCUCCCGGGGUCCACCACGACUCUCCCGGGGUCCAUCCCAUCUCUCGCCGGGUACAUGCCGACCCUCGCCGGGCUCCUUUCCAGCCCGAGCCCGGCCCGGUGGCUCGCUGCGGUGCCGGGCCCCGCGGUGGCUCUCUGCCCGCUGCGGUGACACAGGGGCCGGUAGCCGCCAGCAGCCCCGUGACCGGCAUCCGCCGGCGCCCGUUACUCACGCCCCAGCGCGCCGGCUCUGCAGCACGGCUCGGUAACACGGCACCGGCACGGCGGUGCCUGGCACGGGCCUGGUGACACCGGGAAACUCUGGGUGACGCCGGUGAUGCCGGGGCACCCACGGUGAUGCCGGGGCGUUCCCGGUGACCCCCGCUCUCCUGCCUGCGCUGCGACACUGGCACAGGAGGGAUGCGGCGCGGCUGGAGCUCCCCGGGACGCGCCCCCCCCCCC